rnacentral:rRNA from 1 species
CCUACGGGUGGCAGCAGUGAGGAAUAUUGGUCAAUGGGCGGGAGCCUGAACCAGCCAAGUCGCGUGAGGGAAGACGGUCCUAUGGAUUGUAAACCUCUUUAGGCGGGGAGCAAUGCCGGGCACGCGUGCCCGGAGGGAGAGUACCCGCAGAAUAGGCAUCGGCUAACUCCGUGCCAGCAGCCGCGGUAAUACGGGGGGUGCGAGCGUUAUCCGGAUUUGUGGGGUUAAAGGGGUGCGGAGGGGGAUUUUUAAGUCAGCGGAAAAAUGCCGGGCUCAACCCGGGCCGGCCGUUGAAACUGGGGAUCUUGAGUGGGCGAGAGGUAUGCGGAAUGCGUGUUGUAGCGGUGAAAUGCAUAGAUAUCACGCAGAACUCCGAUUGCGAAGGCAGCAUACCGGCGCCCGACUGACGCUGAGGCACGAAAGCGUGGGGAUCGAACAGGAUUAGAUACCCGAGUAGUC